GUUAGAACUCAAUUACGACUACAUAUGCGUUAAAGCAGGAACUGGCAGGCCUCUGGACUACAGCAACUAUAGGACUCGUGCUUCUCGUACGCUGGGCUAUAAUUUAUGAAAACUGAGCCCCAGAUCCAGCCAAUCAUUUAGCUCCUCAUAACAAGUCUAACUGGCUCUGGAAAGCUGAAAGGACUGCGCUAGAACAACAAAGAUGAGAUAUUCCACACAAUAAUCUGCUUAUCUGGAAUCACUUUCCCUUGCCAGGCCAGAGAGAAAUCGCAGCUUCAUCGUCUGAGGAAAGGAGGACAGAUGACCCUGGAAAAUGCAACGACACCUGGAGCAAGAGCUUUUCCUGGCUUGGCAAUCCUAACAGUGCCGGCAUUAAAGGAGAGGGCUGCCCCUGGAAACCGAAGGGCAGCUACAGCAGUGAAAACCGGAGGUUUGCAGUUAUUAAAGGAUCUGUGGAAAACAUUUUUAAGUCAAAAGAGGUGGCUAAAAUAGGAAAGCAAAACAAAAUGGAAUUGACAUACUCAUAACCCCAACGCCACACCCUUGGACACUUGACGUACUUUACCUAAUGACAAAUCCUGCCAAAUCUUCAGCAAAUAGUGUGUUUCUUCAACAAAUUUUGUUAUGAGUGUAACAUUAGCAACAAAAAAUGUUUGUAAUAAACUUUGAAUAACUAAAUCAAUUAUAAUGCUUUUGACGUGACAAGAGAACCUUCGAAAUAUUCAAAUCGUGUCAGUUUUAUGUGCUCCCAAAGGGAAAAGCUGGGAAGAGAAAAUUGCUUUGUUUAGUGAUGAAAUAUAAACAAUAGUAACAGAAGAGGCAUUUAUGCACUUUUUGUUUGCUGUAGAUAAUUGAAUUCAACUUGAGAUUUGACACUAAGAAGAAAAAUAUGGCGAUACAUAGAGAACAGAAAAAGUAAUCCAUUGGCAGUUCCCCACAAGUGCUGCUGCCUACAGUGACUAUGUGAGAACCGAACCUUCUGAGGAAGCCAGGUUAUUAAAAUUUUUGUUCCCUUUACUCAAAGAUAGCAUGGAUUCUCUAGUCUGAAAUGGAAAGCAAGCUCUUAAGGUAAUAUUGUCACUGAAUCCUCAACACACAGAACUUCCUGUUUCCCAUUCCCUUAAUAAAAUUCUAUUAAAAUCCCCUUGAACUCCCAUGUUCAAAUCUCCAUUUGUCAACAGACAAAGGCAAGAAUACUUCAAACUGAGGCCUCUAAGCCAUUUCACUUGUAUUCUUGUCCAGAAAUUUCCCCUAGGAAGACUUCACUUCCAACAACUUUGAAGACAACCAUCUCACCACCCAAGGCAAUGAUCCACAAGCAUCCACCAAGUCUUUGAGUUAAAAGCUUUCAUGCCUUCUGUCCAUUCUCUGUGUCAACAUAUAGCUAAGUUACACACUGACCCUUGGCCCCCUGACCCUUACAAACACUAAAGGUUUUGUUUGACUCAACUUCAAGCUGUUCAUCUGUUAGUAAG
rnacentral:lncRNA from 1 species